GAUUGCAGCCUGCAACUCGGCUGCAUGAAGCCGGAAUCGCUAGUAAUCGCGGAUCAGAACGCCGCGGUGAAUACGUUCCCGGGUCUUGUACACACCGCCCGUCACACCAUGGGAGUCGGGAACGCCCGAAGUCGGUGCCCCAACCGCAAGGAGGGAGCCGCCGAAGGCAGGCCCGGCGACUGGGGUGAAGUCGUAACAAGGUAAC
rnacentral:rRNA from 1 species